GUUUCAGGAUGGGAUGUGGGGGGGUGCGUUUUUAUGUCUGUUGAUGUGUACAAUGUUAGAAGUGAUGUUGUCUAAGCAGGAGUAGCUCACCUUGACGUUAUGGGGUUGAAGAGUUUGUAAUACUUAUGACCUCCGGGGAAAUGUUUUUUUAAUUAACAACAGGAAGCCCCUGAAUAUGUUUCCUUUCUAAUUACAUACUUUCAGGUUCAGUCUUGCAUGGCACCUUGGGAAAAUGCUUUUUACUAUAGCUCUGGGUCCACCAAAACAAUGUGAGUGGAUUUUGUCAAUGAAAACUAGAAGAAGCCCAUUGUAUAUAUAUGUGCAUAUGUUUGUGUCUCCUUGUCUUGACAUUGUAUGAUAGUUGUAAACAAGUGGUGUCCAUGUUGUGUUCUUCAUUUAUCCACCAUGGGGAAUAUUACCUUACUUAAAAACAGGUGAGUGUUGGCAAUAAGAAGGCAUCCAGUCAUGUAAAAUCUGGCUCAAUGCAUUCCAUGUGAUCCAUGCAAGGAAGGAAGAGUGAAAUCAGUUAAAAUAGUGAUGAUGAUUAUGAUGACUCGAGGAGACCCAUCCACCACAGCAGAAUUGAUACUGGUGCUGAUGCCACAUAAAAAGCACUGAUACUGGUGUCACAUAAAGAGCGCCCAUGCUUGUGCCAUGUUAAAUGCACUGGUGUUGGUGCCACAUAAAAAGCACCCAAUACAUUCUGUGGAGUGAUUGGCAUUAGGAAGGAUAUCCAGCCACAGGAAUCAUUUCAGAACAGACAAUAGAACUUGGUGUAGCCCUCGGCCUUACCAGCUCUGGAAAACAGAUGUUAAAUGAUGAUGAUAAUGCUGCUGCUGCUGAUGAUGAUGAUGAUGGUGAUAAUGAUGUAUAUAUACAUAUAUAUACACACACACAUGAAUGCAUAU